UACAGAGGUCUCAAGCGUUGUUCGGAUUCAUUGGGCGUAAAGGGCGCGUAGGCGGCGGGGUAAGUCGGGUGUGAAAUCUCAGGGCUCAACCCUGAAACUGCACUCGAUACUGCCGUGCUUGAGGACUGGAGAGGAGACUGGAAUUUACGGUGUAGCGGUGAAAUGCGUAGAUAUCGGAAGGAAGACCAGUGGCGAAGGCGGGUCUCUGGACAGUUCCUGACGCUGAGGCACGAAGGUCAGGGGAGCAAACGGG
rnacentral:rRNA from 1 species